GUUCAUGUAGCUUAACAAAAAGCAAGGCACUGAAAAUGCCUAGAUCCUAGACGGGUUCUAGUGACCCCAUAAACA
rnacentral:tRNA from 1 species